rnacentral:rRNA from 1 species
AUUGAACGCUGGCGGCAGGCCUAACACAUGCAAGUCGAGCGGCAGCGCGGGGGCAACCCUGGCGGCGAGCGGCGAACGGGUGAGUAAUACAUGGGAAUCUGCCCUGUAGUGGGGGAUAACUCUGGGAAACUGGAGGUAAUACCGCAUACGUCCUACGGGAGAAAGCGGGGGAUCUUCGGGACCUCGCGCUACAGGAGGAGCCCAUGUCCGAUUAGCUAGUUGGUGAGGUAAAGGCUCACCAAGGCGACGAUCGGUAACUGGUCUGAGAGGAUGGUCAGUCACACUGGAACUGAGACACGGUCCAGACUCCUACGGGAGGCAGCAGUGGGGAAUAUUGGACAAUGGGGGAAACCCUGAUCCAGCCAUGCCGCGUGUGUGAAGAAGGCCUGGUUGUAA